rnacentral:rRNA from 1 species
GACGAACGCUGGCGGCGUGCUUAACACAUGCCAGUCGAACGGAAAGGCCCUGCUUUUGUGGGGUGCUCGAGUGGCGAACGGGUGAGUAACACGUGUGUAACCUGCCCUUGACUUUGGGAUAACUUCAGGAAACUGGGGCUAAUACCGGAUAGGAGCUCCUGCUGCAUGGUGGGGGUUGGAAAGUUUCGGCGGUUGGGGAUGGACUCGCGGCUUAUCAGCUUGUUGGUGGGGUAGUGGCUUACCAAGGCUUUGACGGGUAGCCGGCCUGAGAGGGUGACCGGCCACAUUGGGACUGAGAUACGGCCCAGACUCCUACGGGAGGCAGCAGUGGGGAAUAUUGCACAAUGGGCGGAAGCCUGAUGCAGCAACGCCGCGUGCGGGAUGACGGCCUUCGGGCUGUAAACCGCUUUCGCCUGUGACGAAGCGUGAGUGACGGUAAUGGGUAAAGAAGCACCGGCUAACUACGUG